GCCUGGGUGGCUCAGUUGGUUGAGCUUCUGACUUCACCUCAGGUCAUGAUCUGGCGGUUCGUGGGUUCAAGCCCCGCGUCGGGCU
rnacentral:tRNA from 1 species